rnacentral:rRNA from 1 species
GUGGUAAUGCCGGAUGCUCCAGCUGAUCGCAUGGUGUUCUGGGAAAGCCUUUGCGGCAUGGGAUGGGGUCGCGUCCUAUCAGCUUGAUGGCGGGGUAACGGCCCACCAUGGCUUCGACGGGUAGCCGGCCUGAGAGGGCGACCGGCCACAUUGGGACUGAGAUACGGCCCAGACUCCUACGGGAGGCAGCAGUGGGGAAUAUUGCACAAUGGGCGCAAGCCUGAUGCAGCGACGCCGCGUGAGGGAUGGAGGCCUUCGGGUUGUAAACCUCUUUUGUUAGGGAGCAAGGCACUUUGUGUUGAGUGUACCUUUCGAAUAAGCACCGGCUAACUACGUGCCAGCAGCCGCGGUAAUACGUAGGGUGCAAGCGUUAUCCGGAAUUAUUGGGCGUAAAGGGCUCGUAGGCGGUUCGUCGCGUCCGGUGUGAAAGUCCAUCGCUUAACGGUGGAUCCGCGCCGGGUACGGGCGGGCUUGAGUGCGGUAGGGGAGACUGGAAUUCCCGGUGUAACGGUGGAAUGUGUAGAUAUC